ensembl:lncRNA
CUUACCACACCUGCACAAUUGAUUCUCUACGGUCCUCAUGCUCGAGUCACAUAUGAGAAAACCAGAGAGAUGAACUGACGGGAAAAGGUUCCAUUCAGGUUAAAUCUAUAAUACGCAUUCCUUCACACUAAAAAAUAAAUAAAUAAAUAAAUAAAAAAUAAACAAUCUGUAAAAAAAAAAACAAAAAAAAAAACAUAUAUGCAUAAUGAACAUUUUAAAAACUAACCCAAAAUGACAAGCAAACAAGUUCUGCAAAUAUGGGAGGCAAGACACACCACAUCCAUCACAAUCUCCCAUAAUUCCACUGGUUUAUUGACACACUCACGGACAGAACAUUCUUGAACACUCCUGCAUCAGAACACAGUGCAUGAGAAAUUCAAUCAGUAUCAAAAACACACAACAUGGCCCACAACAAGCUCGGCCCGCAAAAUCACCAAUAUGAUUUGCAUAGGAAAGUAUUUAGCACACUUUUGAACAAAAAAUACAGACAUUUAUACUUUGUUUUUUUGCAGUGGCUGGUUUUCAUUUGAUGCAUUUUUUUUAAACAAUCAACCUUUGGACAAUCAAUUACCCCCCAAAAUGAUUUUUAGGAUAGUGAUAAAUGCUUAAGAAAUUACAAAAAAGUUCGAAAUAAUAGUUAAGAUAGGGCAAGCAAUAAAAGAAAAACUAAAAACAAAAAUGGAUGGAUGGAUGGUUUUUUCUCUACAACACAUCCAACACUCUUUGUCCCAGCACACAAAGUAAUGAUUAUUCUACAUUUUACUUACUUUGCAACAGUGUUCAUCACGGGCGAAUCACACAAAAACUGUCAAGGGAGAUUUUUUAUUUUUUUUACCCCAAAACCAAAAGAAAAAUUACAGAAAAUAAGAGAAAAUAAAUUAUAUUUUAUAAAGAAUUUUUUUUUUCUUCCAAAUUAUUAUUAAUAAUUACUAUAACAGAAAACAAAUAUUACAUAUUAUUAUGAUGAGGAUAUAAUUUGUUGUGCCGACUUUAGUUAAUGAUUAAAUGACAGAUUUAAUUGUCAUAAAUCUUAAUAGGCUUUA